CCCUCUCCCCUUCUCCCUCCUGGCCUCCCUCCCCCCCCCCCUUCCUCCUUCCCUCUCUCCCUGCCUCUCUCGGGAGGUAGGUGCGGAGCCUCCGCCCCGCAGCUGGCAGCGGGUUUCUCCCUUUCCAUCCCUCCCUCGUCCACCCUUCUGUCCGUCUUGUCCGUCCUCCUGUCCGCAGCGAGGACGUGCGUGCAGGUGGGAGAGUGCCUUUCCCAAAAGGUCACCCGUCUCCCGGCUGCCUUCGAAAGUAGCGUGUAGUUGCAAAGAAAUAUUACCCCGCUUUAUUAAAUCAUCUCUCUCCGGGGGCGUGCUCCAAAGCCUCUUGAAGUCCACGGGAGUCUUUGAAUAGUUCGAGACGCGUCGUGGGGAAAUGCACGCUCUGCCGUGUUGGAAGGGAGACGGCGGUGCCAAGUGACAGCCGAGCGAGGCAGAGGGAAGGAAGGCAGGGGAGCGGGCAACCCACGGAAAUGGGCGACUGCACAAUGCUGUGAAGAAGGGACAUGACGCCUGGCAGGAGGCAGGGUGCGGCACUAGAAGGGCUGUUUCCCUUUUCCCCCUUCCCAACCUCACAAACAACCCGAGAGUCCCUGAUUGCAGUGGGCUAAAACGUUUCUAAACCCAGCCGUCGUCAUUAAUAUUAGAAUGCUUUUAGCAGAACAUGGCCUCGCUUCGAAAACAGGAAGGCUCCACACGUUUUUGUCCUUAAUCCAUCAUGUAUCAACGCCGAAACCUCCAGCCUGGCGCAUGGCGGUGGAGUGUGAGGGUCAGAAGUUCACAACAGUUUAAAUCUGAAUUAUUUAGCAAGCACACACAUGACACUCUUCCGAUUUCCACGCAGCCUUUUUUUUUUCUCCACCCCCCACCCCAGUUCAUUUCCUUCCCUCUAAACACAAGAGCCCCGUUCGGUGUUAUUUGCCCUGGCGCGGUGUUAUUUGCCCAGCAUAUCCAGUUGACCCAGAAUCCAGCAAAGCCGAGGAGAAGAAGUCUCGAUGGGACUGUUGACCUAACAAGUAGCAUGUCAGUCUCCCGGUGGCAUUUGAAUGUUCUUGCAGCGAAUGCUUUGAGACAGGAGAGAGCAUAAAGCCGAGUUUCUUUGGAAUCCUUAAUUAGACACAGUGAUUUUGGAGGACUGGUUUCUGCCGCUAUCCUCUAGUGCCUGGUACUUUGUUUUGCGACCUUGAGGUUAAGGGUACCAACCAGCCCUGUUUAUUUUUAAUAAAAUCUUACAGUUAUAUGAGACAGUUCUAGGUUUUAUUUAUUUUUAGCAUAAGUGCUUCCAUCUUAUCUGCCUUGCAGGUUUAUAGUAAGGAUUUGGCUAAUAUUUGGACAGCACUUUUAAGCUAUGAAGCUCUAUGGGUCUAUUAUACUGACCAUUUUCUGGGGUUUUCGUUUUAGGAGUGUACUUUCGUACAAGAUAAGAGUGUGCUCUUUCAGUUCAGAUAGAUAGAGCUCAAAUCCUGACCUUAGUUUUCCCCUCAAAUUUUAUUAAAUGCCCGAUUUACAAAUGCUGACAUAGGGUCAGAUUCUGAUUUUACUUCUAGGUAUAAAUUUCAAAGAAUUUCUUGAUCCUCAGUGACUUUAUUCUAAAUCUAAACCAAUUUAACUCAAAAUUCAAGCCGUAAUUGUCACAAAGAAAAAGCAUAUAAUUACAUUAAAUACAGUAUUCUACA